rnacentral:rRNA from 1 species
AAUAGAUACCCGGGUAGUCCACGCCGUAAACGACGAGUGCUAAGUGUUAGAGGGUUUCCGCCCUUUAGUGCUGCAGCUAACGCAUUAAGCACUCCGCCUGGGGAGUACGGCCGCAAGGCUGAAACUCAAAGGAAUUGACGGGGGCCCGCACAAGCGGUGGAGCAUGUGGUUUAAUUCGAAGCAACGCGAAGAACCUUACCAGGUCUUGACAUCCUCUGACAACCCUAGAGAUAGGGCUUUCCCCUUCGGGGGACAGAGUGACAGGUGGUGCAUGGUUGUCGUCAGCUCGUGUCGUGAGAUGUUGGGUUAAGUCCCGCAACGAGCGCAACCCUUGAUCUUAGUUGCCAGCAUUCAGUUGGGCACUCUAAGGUGACUGCCGGUGACAAACCGGAGGAAGGUGGGGAUGACGUCAAAUCAUCAUGCCCCUUAUGACCUGGGCUACACACGUGCUACAAUGGAUGGUACAAAGGGCUGCAAACCUGCGAAGGUAAGCGAAUCCCAUAAAGCCAUUCUCAGUUCGGAUUGCAGG